GAAACAGCGAUGACCGGGAAAAGUAGAUGGCAAGACACGUUAUCAGGGAUUUUACACCACGACUGAAAGUGUGAAAAACGCUGCUCCAUCGAAGUUCACCCCGCGAGCUGCACGCUUGGACCAAACAUGUAAAGGCGUGCCGGCAAAGGACCGUUAUUCCAAUUCAAGUGAUUUUGCAUCUUCUUUGUUGAUGCAAACUAAUCAGGGUGGUACCGCGAAAUUCAACCUCGUCCCUUUU
rnacentral:ncRNA from 1 species